GCCAGUAUGGCAUACUGGUUUGAGUGUAGGACUGCAACUCUGGAGACCAGGGUUCAAUUCCCCGCUCAGCCA
rnacentral:tRNA from 1 species